AGAGUUUGAUCCUGGCUCAGAGCGAACGUUAGCGGCAGGCCUAACACAUGCAAGUCGCACGAGAAUCCGGUUUCGGCCGGUAGUAAAGUGGCGGACGGGUGAGUAACACGUGGAUAAUCUGCCCUUCGGCGGGGGACAACAGUCCGAAAGGAUUGCUAAUACCGCAUACGUCGGCGAGGUCGAAAGAUCUUGUCGGGAAAGGUGGCCUCUUCAUGAACGCUACCACCGAAGGAUGAGUCCGCGUCCCAUCAGCUAGUUGGCGGGGUAAUGGCCCACCAAGGCAAAGACGGGUAGCUGGUCUGAGAGGAUGAUCAGCCACACUGGGACUGAGACACGGCCCAGACUCCUACGGGAGGCAGCAGUGGGGAAUAUUGGGCAAUGGGCGCAAGCCUGAUCCAGCCAUGCCGCGUGAGUGGUGAAGGCCUUAGGGUUGUAAAACUCUUUCGACGGGGAAGAUAAUGACGGUACCCGUAGAAGAAGCCCCGGCUAACUUCGUGCCAGCAGCCGCGGUAAUAC
rnacentral:rRNA from 1 species